GCUUAGGAAAGGAGGUUCUGCCUCCUCGGCUCCAUCUGAGCUGCCACACCAAAUCCACGGGGUGAAACAGGAAAGGAGCCUCACGCCUGCACAGGAGGGUGGGGGACAGCCCUGGCACACAGCGGCAGAUGUAAUCAUUACCCUGGACGCCGGUAAUCAUUACCCUGAGCGUCAGAGCCACCGCACACACGCGAAGCCCCUUAAAUUUCUCUUCCCCAGCUCUCGGUACCGGCGGCUGAAGGGGAGGAGAAGAGGCUAUCAGCAGGGACUGAGUGUUCUCCUGGAGCCAGGGAUGGAUUUCCUGAAUGGUGACAAAUAGCAGUAAAGCCUGAAGUCAAUUCCACAGUGAAAUCAUUACAUAAAUUGCUCUUUCCUGCAGGAAAGAGAUGGAUGAACAAUAAAACAAAUCAGAAAAUAGUACAAAAUGAGUAAUCUUACAGUUCAGUUACGGGAAACAAGAAGAACAACCCUAGCAAUGAUGCCAGCUCAGUCAGGGAGCCAGGUGAUACAAAGAGUGCACCUGUACAGAAAAAUUUCGCUUGAGGAUUUCUGGAAAAAAAACCCUGAAAAUUAGAUCAUUCAGGUGCAGAAUGACCUUCCAAAAGGACACCAAGAAACUCCUUCUGCCCAGAGCCAUGAAAGCUAGAGCAGAGCGAGUGUGAGCAACUCGAAUAUUUAUUCUUAUUGUGGUAGUGUGCAGGAGCCUUUGUCUUGCUCCUGUGUGCGGGGUGCUGUACAAAAAGAUUGUUCUGAUUCAGAGACUGGAAGUUAGCCGUAAGACCAGAAAAAUGACACGCAUCUGUCACAGACAUGGGCAGCUUGAGGAAAGAAAAGCAGUCAGUGUGCUGCCAAGAUUUUUAUAGGCCAUACAGACAAGGAGAGCAUUGGAGGGAGCUCCGAAAGAUGAUUUUUCCAACACACAUUAAUGAGGAGUGGGUUGUAAAGCUGGAAGUGCAGAGAUGUUGGAAAUGGUAACAAGGAGGCAGUGGAACUCGUAAUCGCAAGCUGAUCUCAGGAAAGAGCUGACAUCCCGGUCGUACUCCGAACCAGAUCAACAGGGAUGGGCCGGGGAAAGACGGAUCUUGAACGGGAAGGUGUUUGACACACUAGGAAAACGCGAGCUAGUAGACAGAAAAGAAAGAAGUCGUGCAGACAGAGCGACAGGCUAAGAACAGUCCUGCAUUGUGAGGACAAGGACUUGGUUAUUCAAGAGUUUUUCUUUCCUCUUGUUUCUCAGGGAACAGCAGGGAUAAUAAUACAAUAGUUUGAUUGUGUUAAGAGA